UACGUAGGGUGCAAGCGUUAUCCGGAAUUAUUGGGCGUAAAGAGCUCGUAGGCGGUUUGUCGCGUCUGCUGUGAAAACUGGGGGCUCAACCCCCAGCCUGCAGUGGGUACGGGGCAGACUAGAGUGCGGUAGGGGAGAUUGGAAUUCCUGGUGUAGCGGUGGAAAUGCGCAGAUAUCAGGAGGAACACCGAUGGCGAAGGCAGAUCUCUGGGCCGUAACUGACGCUGAGGAGCGAAAGCAUGGGGAGCGAACAGG
rnacentral:rRNA from 1 species